rnacentral:rRNA from 1 species
AGAGUUUGAUCCUGGCUCAGGAUGAACGCUGGCGGCGUGCUUAACACAUGCAAGUCGAACGAAGCACUCUAUUUGAUUUUCUUCGGAAAUGAAGAUUUUGUGACUGAGUGGCGGACGGGUGAGUAACGCGUGGGUAACCUGCCUCAUACAGGGGGAUAACAGUUGGAAACGACUGCUAAUACCGCAUAAGCGCACAGGAUCGCAUGAUCUGGUGUGAAAAACUCCGGUGGUAUGAGAUGGACCCGCGUCUGAUUAGCCAGUUGGCAGGGUAACGGCCUACCAAAGCGACGAUCAGUAGCCGACCUGAGAGGGUGACCGGCCACAUUGGGACUGAGACACGGCCCAAACUCCUACGGGAGGCAGCAGUGGGGAAUAUUGCACAAUGGGGGAAACCCUGAUGCAGCGACGCCGCGUGAGCGAAGAAGUAUUUCGGUAUGUAAAGCUCUAUCAGCAGGGAAGAAGAAUGACGGUACCUGACUAAGAAGCACCGGCUAAAUACGUGCCAGCAGCCGCGGUAAUACGUAUGGUGCAAGCGUUAUCCGGAUUUACUGGGUGUAAAGGGAGCGCAGGCGGUGCGGCAAGUCUGAUGUGAAAGCCCGGGGCUCAACCCCGGUACUGCAUUGGAAACUGUCGUACUAGAGUGUCGGAGGGGUAAGUGGAAUUCCUAGUGUAGCGGUGAAAUGCGUAGAUAUUAGGAGGAACACCAGUGGCGAAGGCGGCUUACUGGACGAUAACUGACGCUGAGGCUCGAAAGCGUGGGGAGCAAACAGGAUUAGAUACCCUGGUAGUCCACGCCGUAAACG